AAGCUCCUACUUACGUCUGUUUCGGCUGCGUUAUCGUGGUGGACUUGCUCUUCUUCUUCAGCAUGAUGAAGGUCACCUGUCAGCGGCUUUCGACAGAAACAGACCCAGCAGUACAGUCUGUUUGCUGCUGAGCUCAGGAUCGCCGUCCUGUUGAUGACGUAGGUUGGUCCAAGCUUUGGCUGUGGGACAGAAUACUUUGGCAUCAUGGUCCACUCAGUUGCUGCUAGGUGUCCCAGGUCCUGUGGCUGCACCUCCUCCAUCGUGGUGACAGCAUCAUUAACAUCCCAGGGUCGAAGCCUGCGUGGACCAACCAAGCCAGGGAUCAUCACCUGUCUCCACCAUCAUUCCCACAACUGAACAUCCUUAAAACAAAAGAACUCAUAAUAGACCCCACCCUCAUAAUCCGGUCCCACACCACCACACUCACAAACAGCUUCUUCCCCCCCACAGCCCACCGCUGCCCACCCAUGAGUCUGAGCCAUGGCCUCAGUAACCCUUAUCAUUCAGGCCACUCACACAUGGACUCCUCAGACCAAGUCCUUUCAACCUGUUCUUCUACUGUGUGCCUUUCUCUUGUUUUGUAUAUAAUCCUCAUGUUUUGUACAUACUCCUCGUGUUUUGUAUAUAUUCCUCCUGCCUGUUAUUUAUUCCUGCUGUCUUACUAUUUAUAGUUUAUCCCUGUACUGUGUAGUGGAGCACCCACAAUUUCCUUGUACAGGUAUAGUGACAAUAAAGGGCUA